UGGGGAAUUUUGGACAAUGGGCGCAAGCCUGAUCCAGCAAUGCCGCGUGCAGGAUGAAGGCCUUCGGGUUGUAAACUGCUUUUGUACGGAGCGAAAAGGUCUGCCCUAAUACGGUGGGCUCAUGACGGUACCGUAAGAAUAAGCACCGGCUAACUACGUGCCAGCAGCCGCGGUAAUACGUAGGGUGCGAGCGUUAAUCGGAAUUACUGGGCGUAAAACGUGCGCAGGCGGUUAUAUAAGACAGGUGUGAAAUCCCCGGGCUCAACCUGGGACCUGCAUUUGUGACUGUAUAGCUAGAGUACGGUAGAGGGGGGUGGAAUUCCGCGUGUAGCAGUGAAAUGCGUAGAUAUGCGGAGGAACACCGAUGGCGAAGGCAAUCCCCUGGACCUGUACUGACGCUCAUGCACGAAAGCGUGGGGAGCAAACA
rnacentral:rRNA from 1 species